rnacentral:misc_RNA from 1 species
CCGAACAGCAAAUAGAUGUAUUUGAGUGUUUCACCCAAGAAAAAAGUCUCCAUCUUGUCUCUUCUUUGUGGAGGAAUAACAGUAACAUCGUCAAGAGAAGUGUAACCUCCAGAAUCAAUCUUAGUGUACUUCUCAAAUGCCUCAAAAAUUUGCCAGCCCCAUUCACGAUACUUUGAAUCGCCAGUAAUGCGAUACAGAUAAAACAAUGAUUCAACAGUUUCAGGGCGCAAAAGAUUGUGACGAUCAGCAGGCUUUAUGAUUAUGUCAUUCAAAUAUUUCGAACUUUUGUUCCCACCACCAGGACCACCUUCAGAAUUUCCCUCAAUAUUGAAAUAAGCUAUUUCUGGAGCAAGGCCAGUAGAGGUUACUGAGUAUAUUUCCACGCAAGUCUUAGCCAGAUCUUCAGCAAGCUUUAGGUUUUCCAUAUCUUCAAAAGUGAGCAAGUUCUCUCUCAUAGCUCUUUCCUUUGUCAACCCCUUUGUAGCACCAAGGGCUAGGGUACCAGGAAGGAAACACACCAGGUGAUCCAUCUUUGGACUGAAACCACCUUCUUGCCCAUAUGGCAAUUCUCCCACAAAGACCAAGCCAUUUGGAACAGAUUUGCGAACAAGAAGGUGCCUGACACCUUUAAUUGCUUCGACAUACAUAUCGUACAAGUAUGAAAAGUUAGUUCCUUUCUGCUGAAGCCACACUUUGAUAAGAUACUCAUAAUAGCUAUCACCACGAGAUCCAAGUCUAAUAUUGUCUCCACUAAACUGUCCGGAUUGAGGGCUAAUGUAUAUAGGGACCAGUCCCUCCACCUUUGGCAAAGUCUUUAUAUGUUGUAGAACCUUCAUGGCUUCUGUGCUAUACUUUGG